ensembl:snRNA U6 U6 spliceosomal RNA
GGGCUAUUACAGCUUCAGCAGCACAUAUACUAAAAUUGGAAUGAUACAGAGAAGAUUAGCAUGGCCCCUGAACAAGGAUGACACACACGAUCCAUAUUUUU